rnacentral:rRNA from 1 species
UACGUAGGGGGCAAGCGUUGUCCGGAAUUAUUUGGGCGGUAAAGCGCGCGCAGGCGGUUCAUUAAGUUUGGAUGUUUAAGGGCCAGGGCUCAACCCCUGGUUCGCACUGAAACUGUGGACUUGAGUGCAGAAGAGGAAAGUGGAAUUCCACGUGUAGCGGUGAAAUGCGUAGAGAUGUGGAGGAACACCAGUGGCGAAGGCGACUUUCUGGGCUGUAACAUGACGCUGAGGCGCGAAAGCGUGGGGAGCGAAACAGG